AUCUCCCCCUUUUUGAUGAUUACAAAAUAAAGAGUAUGAGCCUAUUGAUACUUAUCUUAAAAUCAGUUUUUGAAAAGGGCUUAACUUGCUGAAUUUCAGCUUUUCAUAUAUAAGAGUGAAGUCUCCCCCUAUAUCAUUUAAAUGUUGCCAAUUUGACUUUUUGAGUUACUCCCCCUUUCAUUUAUAAUUCAUUAAAGAUGAAACUCCAAAAAUUUGAGAUAAAACAUGAGUUUCAGAUUAUGUAUCGAGGUGUGAAAGGUGUGUGCCAAAUUCUGAAAUUUGAUAUAAAUUUUUGAGUUGAUCAUUUUCAUUGUUGCAAAUUGCUCCCCCUUGGAUGUAUAUGCUUUCCUAUUGAUUUUCAAUUUGUUUUACAAAUUAUUUCUCUUUCUUUCUUUACUUCUCCUCUUAUUACUCUUUCUUUACUUCUCCCCCUUUUUGUUACUCUAUUUACUCUAAAGAUAUCUUUACUUUUCCCCUAUUACUCUUUCUUUACUUCUCCCCCUUUUUGUUAUCAUCAAAUAGGUACAUGGAAAAAGAUGCAAUAAAUACCAAACUUCAAACUUCAUUGAUCAAAAUAGGAACAUUUUAGUAUAUCAAAAAGCAAAAAGCAAAUACAAUAUUCCUCAAUCAAAGUUUAAAGAUGCAUGAUAACCACCAAAUACAUAUGAGAACUAGAUACAUAUCCUAGU
rnacentral:lncRNA from 1 species